CGGCGGCUGGGGUUCCUGGUGAUGCGAUUUUCUUGUGCUCGCCAAAAUCACAUUGCCAGGGAUUUCCAACUGGCG
rnacentral:pre_miRNA from 13 species